AACGCACAUUGCGCCCGCUGGAAUUCCAGCGGGCAUGCCUGUUCGAGCGUCAUUUCAACCCUCAAGCCUAGCUUGGUGUUGGGGCACUACCCGUAAAACGGUAGGCCCUGAAAUUUAGUGGCGGGCUCGCUAAGACUCUGAGCGUAGUAGUUUUUUCAACCUCGCUUUGGAAGGAUUAGCGGUUGCUUCUUGCCGUAAAACCCCCUCAUAUUCUGAAAAUUUGACCUCGGAUCAGGUAGGAAUACCCGCUGAACUUAA
rnacentral:misc_RNA from 1 species